AGCGAACGCUAGCGUCAGGCCUGACACAGACACGUUGAACGGUCCAGAAACGGAGAGUGGCAGACGUAUGAGUAACACGUGCAAACCAUCUAUACGUGUCGGAACAGCUCAGGGAAACUCGUGGUAAUACAGGGAUAAGCCCAGAGGGGGGAAAGAUUUAUCGGCAUUGGAUGGGCACGCGUCGGAUUAGCUAGUUGGUGGGGUGAAUUCCUUUCAAGGCGACGAUCCGUAGCUGGUCUGAGAGGAUGAUCAGCCACACUGGGAAUGAGACGUGGCCCAGAUCUCCUACGGGAGGCAGCAGUGGGGAAUAUUGGACAACGGGAGCAAGCCUGAUCCAGCCAUGCCGCGUGAGUGACGAAGGUCUUCGGAUUGUAAAACUCUUUUGGCGGGGACGAUAAUGACGGUACCCGCAGAAUAAGCAAAGAGGUUUUCAGCCCCAGCAGCGUCGUUAAUCAGAAGGGGGCUAGCGUUGUUCGGAAUCCCCGGGGGUAAAGCGUCCGUAGGGGGACGUGUCAGUCAGGGGUGAAAUCCGUGACAUUAACUCCGGGACCGGUUGCCAUACAGCACGUCUUGAGUUCGAGAGAGGUGGGGGGAAUGUUACCUUGUAGAGGUGAAAUUUGUAGAUAGAGGCCAUAUCCCCGGGGGAGAAGGUGGCCCACUGGCUCCAUGAAGUCGUGGAGGUGAGAAAGUAUGGGGACCAAUCAGGCUUAGAUACCCAGGUAGUCCACGCCGUUAACGAUGGAUGCUAGCCGUCAGCAAGCAUGCGAGUACCCGGAACAGCCAACGCAUUAAACAUCCAUGUGUGGGGAGUACGGCCCCAAGGUUAAAACUCAAAUGAAUCGACCGGG
rnacentral:rRNA from 1 species